rnacentral:lncRNA from 1 species
AGAUCAGGAGAUCUGCUGAUGUAAGUGGGGUGUGUCACCGAGGAAGGACCUGUGUCGAAGAACAUGAGAAGCCUUAGAAGCUGGGGAGGCAACACUCUUCUCUCGGGCCUCCAGAGGGACGCAGCCAUGCUGACAGUGUCACCUCACACCCCAUGGAACUCAUUUUGGACUUUUUCCCUCCAGCACUGUAAAGGACUAAGUUCAUGUUUUUUUAAAAGCCGCUACCUCAGUGUCAGAUUGUUAAAAGGAAUGAAAAGGAAGCCAGCGUGUACCCCACUCCCAAGUGCUUCCCUACUUCCUGAGCUCGCGGUGAUGUAAGUCACAAUCACAGAAAGGGCUGAAAAGGGGCGCAGGAAAGGCAUGAUGGGAAGAAUCAGCUUGACAAGGAGAGACUCAGACAGAGACACUGCAGUGACUGUUGAUCCUCGGAUUUACCAGAGAAAAAGCCCAAUUCCGCCAGCUCCGGACAAAUUAAAGCUAGCUUUAUUAAAUAUUAAAUACUGACCACCAAAUCCUCGCCUUUAAUCAGGACCAUUCCCUGGAGCUUCUCACCUGGAAUGGCCUUGAGCCCAUGCAGCAGGGAUUUAUAAGGACAAACCUAUAGGCCAUCAUUGUUUCCCAUGAAGCUUUGUUAUUCCCUAAGAACUACAACUCCCAGCAUUCCAGGAAGUCACCUGGUCCUUGGGCAACUGGGGUUUACAGGUUAAUUUCGGGCAUCACAUGGCAAACACAAUGAGGCUGGUGGAAGAAAAUAAUAUUCUCUCCUUAAUCCUCACAUAGUGAAUAUUCGGUUAACACCACAAAUCAGGAGAUAGCACAUCCUGGAUUGGAGCAAUCAACUCAAUCAGAUCUCCAAGUACAAAUUAGUCCUAAUCAGGUUUAAAUUAGGUACUGUUGGGGUACAUUUUGUGAAGGUGUGUUUAUCAAUUGUUUAAUGGGUACCUGCAGAGAGCUACGCACUCGUCGCAUCUUGGUAUUGUUAUGUCCGUGGCCCAUCGCCAGCCUCAUAUUUUGCAAACAUUCAUCCUUCCUUACUUGCCUAUUGGAUGUAAUAAAGAACUGAUGGCCAAUAGCUGAGCAGAGAAUAGAAGGCGGGACUUCCAGGCAGAGAUAGGGACUUCGGGAGAAGCAAUCAAAUGCAGGAGAUUCACCAGGGAUCACAGAAGAGAUGAUUCAGGGUGGAGCAGAGAGGUAGACCUGGCCAUGUGACAGGAGGUAGGCCUGACCAUGUGACAAGACGAAGGCCAGAAUUAGGUAGAGUAGUUGGGAGCCUGCCAAGCUGAGGCAUUAAAAUGUUAAUAAGAUUCCAUGUCAUUAUUUAUAUAGCUGGGGGUGGGGUCCAUGAAAAGUCCCACUUCAAGGUACAGACCCUUUUAAUAAAAUACUUUCCAUUGAAACUAAUGGAAGAGGAAAUCUAAUGACUGGACUGUAUUAUAUGUUAUUGUGUGUACAUAUACACACAAUAUAUACUAACAUGAAAACAGGCAUAGCUUUCUUAUACCUGUCCUUUUCUAUUCUCCCUGCCACUCCAUAGGGUUUCUCUGUGAGUUUCAAAGUGAGUUCCCACUUUCUAGACAAGGUUAGCCUGCAACUCACAGAGACCUGCCUGCCUCUGCCUCUCAAGUGCUGGGAUGAAAGGCGUGUGCCGCCGCCACCUGGCUAACCUUUCUUAGAGUUACUAGAAAAUAUACACUUUCAUAUAUGAAUCACUUUUAAAUUCCCCAAAACUGAAUCACAGAAUGGCCCAACUCUCUCUAAAGAUUUUUGCAUAGGAGUUGGGUGUUGCUAAACACCACUAAUGCUAGUUCCCUAGGGCUUUGUUGUUGUAGUUGUUGUAAACAUCCUUUGAUAUUUUUAAUAUUAGGUAUGGUUCAGUCAGUUCCUUGACUGAUUGACAGCUGACAUAUUCUCUAUCUUCUGUGGCUGUGUGGAAUAAGAAGCAUCUCUACUCUUAAAAAACAAAACAAAACAAAAUGAAAACAAACAAACUUCUCUGGCCCUCCUGGAAUCACAUAACUUCAGCUUCACGAACCAUUGUGAUCAGGACUGGAACUGACGCCAACAAAGGUCUGCUUUGGGGGACCACACUCCAGCUGGGACCUCUUCCCACACAACCUGUCUAAGAUUUGGAAGACUCUAGAUAACAAGGCUAGACAAACCUUGGUGAGCUCAGCAGCUCCUCCUGCUGUGACUGGGGGGGGGGGGGAAGGUCCAGUGAUUGGUGGAAGGGGAACCGAUCAUUGGUCUUUGUGUAGGGCUUGAGUCAGGUGGAAUUGGAAGCUGCAUAUGUGGAACUAGGAGUGGUGGAGUCAGACUUAACAUGAGAUGAGCAGCCCCUCUUCUGGCUGUUUAAACAGACUGCUCUAUUUCAGCCUGAUAAUAACCAUCCAGAGGCACAGAUACCAAAUGGUAGAUGUUUUCUGUUGGACUUAAUUUGUGAUCUGUAAGUGAAAUGCUCACACAUUCACCCAUUGACAUCCUAGUGUGCUUGGUUUCUGAACACUUCCUCCCCUACCAAACUCUGCAGAUGUUUCCAAACCUAUUAUAUAAAAUGGGACAUUGUUUACAUAUAUUAUAGCUAUGGUCUCCUGUUUGCUAUAAGUCAUUUCUGGGUUAUUUAUCAUACCUAGUAGAAUAUACAUGGCAUGAAAAUGACUGUUAUAGCAUAUUGUCUAGGGAUUAAAGACUAAGGAAAAAAAUCAAACAGUACAUGUUCAACAGGUAAUUUCCCCCCCUUAAGUGUUACAGAUAAAACCCAAAGUGUUGUGUAAGUACUUCACCAUAAUCUACACCUCCAACCAUCAGGCUCACUUAAAUGUCUUUGAUCUGUAAUGGAUUGAAUUUGCGGAUCUGGAAUUGGCAAAGACAGAACAUUAACUAUAUUGCUGUCAAUUUUUGACAUUAUCUCUUAUGUUCCCAUAAUAAUAAAGGUGUUUGUUAUUUGC